rnacentral:lncRNA from 1 species
CCAUGAGAAAAGAUUUUUUCUACAUCCUCUGUUAAGCAUACCCAAGUACCUUUUGAGAGAAUUAGAGAUCCUACUAUGUGUGCAAGGUGGAGGAAGAAUUUACGUCUACUAGCUCAUCAUGAAUAAAUUCUUUAGAUCCUAUGGCUCGUUGCUCCUCAGAGACACUCUCUUAGAGCUAGACUUUCCUCCCACUAUUUUAACUUGGUUAAACAAUUUUUUAAGAAGAUAGCAUGUCGGAUCACAAUUACAUUAUAAUCUUUUCAGAAAGUAAUAUCCCAAACUCUUUUAGGAUGAGCUUUAUAGAUCUAUCCUCUAACAUAUCCACCUACUGUCCUAGACUGAAUAUCUUUGAAUCUCAAAAUAAUCAAGAUUCAGUUCUCACCAUACCAUAUCUCAUACGGUGUAGUAGAAACAGGUUUAGAGAGAACCUAAUUUCAU